rfam:Mycobacterium vanbaalenii PYR-1, complete genome.
GUGGGGCGCGCCUAGGGUUCCGCCGGCAGGCAGCCGGGUCUGGUCCGAGAGGCGCAGGCGGCCGGCACCGGAGCCCGGCCGUUCCACGGCGGGACAAAAGCCCGGGAGAC